rnacentral:misc_RNA from 1 species
GGGAAAAAAAAAAGCCAUGAACAAAGUGCUUACAAUUUGCCUUUUAAUUAUUCCCACCCAAUCACUGAAAUCAAUAUUUAGAAUAAUGCAUAAUUACAAUCUCUUAAUUUCUUCCUACGAAUUUCUUUCAAUGGUUAAGAAUGAGACAGCCCUUUUGUCUAUAACAGCAAUAAAAAUUAACAGAACAGAAGAAACUUGUUAAAUAAAUUU